rnacentral:rRNA from 1 species
UCGAGAAUCAUUCACAAUGGGGGAAACCCUGAUGGUGCGACGCCGCGUGGGGGAAGAAGGUCUUCGGAUCGUAAACCCCUGUCAUGUGGGAGCAAGCAGCGAUGUAGAUAGUACCACAAGAGGAAGAGACGGCUAACUCUGUGCCAGCAGCCGCGGUAAUACGUAGGGGGCAAGCGUUGUCCGGAAUGACUGGGCGUAAAGGGAGUGUAGGCGGUCUUUUAAGUUACAUGUGAAAUCCCACGGCUUAACCGUGGAACUGCAUGUAAAACUGGAGGACUGGAGUGCAGGAGAGGCAAGUGGAAUUCCUAGUGUAGCGGUGGAAUGCGUAGAUAUUAGGAGGAACACCAGUGGCGAAGGCGACUUGCUGGACUGUAACUGACGCUGAGGCUCGAAAGCGUGGGGAGCAAACA